UUCUGGCUCAGGAUGAACGCUAGCUACAGGCCUAACACAUGCAAGUCGAGGGGCAGCAUAACGAAAGCUUGCUUUGUUGAUGGCGACCGGCGCACGGGUGAGUAACGCGUAUCCAACCUUCCCCUUAGUAGGGCAUAGCCCGGCGAAAGUCGGAUUAAUACCCUAUGUUUUCCGUUGAUGGCAUCUGAAAUGGAACAAAGAUUUAUCGCUAAGGGAUGGGGAUGCGUCUGAUUAGGUUGUUGGCGGGGUAACGGCCCACCAAGCCAUCGAUCAGUAGGGGUUCUGAGAGGAAGGUCCCCCACAUUGGUACUGAGACACGGACCAAACUCCUACGGGAGGCAGCAGUGAGGAAUAUUGGUCAAUGGGCGAGAGCCUGAACCAGCCAAGUAGCGUGCAAGGAUGACGGCCCUAUGGGUUGUAAACUGCUUUUGCAUGGGAAUAAAGUGAGGGACGUGUCCCUUUUUGUAUGUACCAUGAGAAUAAGGACCGGCUAAUUCCGUGCCAGCAGCAGC
rnacentral:rRNA from 1 species